rnacentral:tRNA from 1 species
GGUUUUAUAUUCAAAAAUGAUUCUAGUUUGCAAAACUAGGGGUGUAAUAAGAUUUACUAAGGCCU